rnacentral:rRNA from 1 species
GCUGGCAACUCUAGAGAGCGGGUUACACCUGUUCCCAUCUCGAACACAGAAGUUAAGCCGCUCUUCGCCGAUGGUACUUCCCACGCGAGUGGGCGGGAGAGUAGGGCGUUGCCAGCA